rnacentral:rRNA from 1 species
CCUUUAAAGAGUGCGUAACAGCUCACUAGUCGAGUGACCCUGCGCCGAAAAUGUACCGGGGCUAAGCCUGAUACCGAAACUGCGGAUUGUAGGAAACUAUAGUGGUAGGGGAGCGUUGUAUACGAGCAGAAGCCGUACCGUGAGGAGCGGUGGAUUGUAUAGAAGUGAGAAUGCCGGUGUGAGUAGCGAGAUGUAGGUGAGAAUCCUACACACCGAAAGCCCAAGGAUUCCAGGGGAAGGUUCGUCCGCCCUGGGUAAGUCGGGACCUAACGCGAGGCCGAAAGGCGUAGUGGAUGGAAAGCAGGCGAAAGAUUCCUGCACCCGUAUAUGGAGCGAAGGAGUGACGGAGACGGAUAGUGUGACCCUCUUAAUGGAUUGAGGGCGAAGCGAAGCGGCUGGUUACCAGGCAAAUCCGGUAACCAAAAGGCUAGAGCGUGACAGGUAAGCGAAAUCUUAGGAAAGUAGCGAAGCACAUGAUGACGGCUUCCAGGAAAAGCUUCUGGCAAUGCAUAUGCGGCCCGUACCAAAACCGACACAGGUGGGCAGGGAGAGAAUCCCGAGGUGAGCGAGAGAACUGUUGCCAAGGAACUCGGCAAAAUGACUCCGUAAGUUAGCGAGAAGGAGUGCUUAAGCAAUUAAGCCGCAGUGAAGAGGCCCAAGCGACUGUUUAACUAAAACACAGCUCUCUGCGAAGUCGCAAGACGAAGUAUAGGGGGUGACACCUGCCCGGUGCUGGAAGGUUAAGAGGAUCUGUUAAGAGCGAUCUGAAGCAGUGAUCCGAAGCCCCAGUGAACGGCGGCCGUAACUAUAACGGUCCUAAGGUAGCGAAAUUCCUUGUCAGGUAAGUUCUGACCCGCACGAAAGGCGUAACGAUUUGGGCGCUGUCUCGGCAGCAGACUCGGUGAAAUCUUAGUACCUGUGAAAAUGCAGGUUACCCGCAACUAGACGGAAAGACCCCAUGGAGCUUUACUGCAGCCUGAUAUUGAAUUCUGGUCAUACAUGUACAGGAUAGGUGGGAGACAAAGAGACGUGCACGCCAGUGUACGAGGAGUCGUCGUUGGGAUACCACUCUUGUGUGACCGGGGUUCUAACCUGGUAUCGAGAACAGGUACGGGGAGAGUGUCAGGUGGGCAGUUUGACUGGGGCGGUCGCCUCCCAAAGAGUAACGGAGGCGCCCAAAGGUACGCUCAGAUUGGUUGGAAAUCAAUUGAAGAGUGCAAAUGCAGAAGCGUGCUUGACUGUGAGACAAACAAGUCGAACAGGGACGAAAGUCGGGAAUAGUGAUCCGGCGGUGCCGAAUGGAAGGGCCGUCGCUCAACGGAUAAAAGCUACCCUGGGGAUAACAGGCUGAUCUCGCCCAAGAGUUCACAUCGACGGCGAGGUUUGGCACCUCGAUGUCGGCUCAUCGCAUCCUGGAGCUGGAUUCGGUUCCAAGGGUUGGGCUGUCCGCCCAUUAAAGCGGUACGCGAGCUGGGUUCAGAACGUCGUGAGACAGUUCGGUC